rnacentral:tRNA from 1 species
GCCGUCUUAGCUCAGCUGGUAGAGCGGCGCAUUCGUAAUGCGUAGGUCNGGUCGGAGGUUCGAGUCCUCUAGACGGCACCA